CUGCUAUUCUAGACAAUGAACAUCUGCCCACUGGGAGGCAGGGGGCUGUGGCUUCUGCUGCUGAUUGAAUGCUGCUGAGCAAGUGACUUCAGCUGAUGCCACUGAAGCAGAAGAACCGUCCAUCUGAGCCCCACCUGAGUUCCUGAUGCACAGAGCUGUGAGAGGAAUAAACAGACUCUGUGGGAUAACAAAGACUCACCAGCCAUCACCAACCUGUGGCUUCUGAAUUAGACUUCUGCACAUGUCACCUUCAAUACAACCUGCACCAAUACACGUGGCCACCUUCCUGAAUCCCUUAUAAAAACCCCUACCCACGGUUGGGGAGCUGGAUUUGAGGGAUUCCUCCUGUCUCCCAGAUGACAUCAUCUGUAAUA